rnacentral:rRNA from 1 species
CACGCCCUAAACGAUGCAAACUUGGUGUGCGCCCUUCAUUGGGUGCGUGCCGAAGCUAACGCGUUAAGUUUGCCGCCUGGGGAGUNACGCGAAGAACCUUACCUGGGCUCGAACGGCUGAUCAACGACUGUGGAAACAUGGUUACUCCGCAAGGGGGUUCAGUCGAGGUGC